UACGAAGGGAGCUAGCGUUGUUCGGAAUCACUGGGCGUAAAGCGUGCGCAGGCGGUUUGCUAAGACAGAUGUGAAAUCCCCGGGCUCAACCUGGGAACUGCAUUUGUGACUGCAUGGCUGGAGUGCGGCAGAGGGGGAUGGAAUUCCGCGUGUAGCAGUGAAAUGCGUAGAUAUUCGGAAGAACACCAGUGGCGAAGGCGGCUCACUGGACUGGUAUUGACGCUGAUGUGCGAAAGCGUGGGGAGCAAACAGG
rnacentral:rRNA from 1 species